AAAAGAAAAAAAAAAAGGCAGCAGAAACAUGCUGUCUGUAGCCGCCUCUGCUGCUGGAUCACUCAGCCUGCCUAGGACCCUUGGGACACCCAGGCUGGGGAUGUGGGGAGGGGCAGGUGGCCCCAGCUUUGAAACGCACCUCCAGGUGCCAACUCCAAGCUGAUCCUGCAGCCUCUUGCACUGUACCCCCAGGCCCCCACCCCCGCUGCUCCCCAGCCCCUGCAGAUGGGGCCCUGCGCCUACGAGAUCAGGCAGUUCCUGGACUGUUCGACCACUCAGAGUGACCUGUCCCUGUGUGAGGGCUUCAGCGAGGCCCUGAAGCAGUGCAAGUACUACCAUGGUCUGAGCUCCCUGCCCUGAAGAGGUCAGUGCAGACUCCGGGGCCAGUCCUGCACCCACCUCUACCCCUCGCCAACAGCCAGACCACAACACCAGAUUGUACCUGGAUGGCUGGGAUUGAAAGUGAGGAGGUUUCUCACCCCACAGAUAACCC
rnacentral:sRNA from 1 species